rnacentral:rRNA from 1 species
UCCGGAAUUACUGGGCGUAAAGGGCGCGUAGGCGGCCGUUUAAGUCCGCUGUGAAAGACCGAGGCUCAACCUCGGGGUGUCAGCGGAGACUGGACGGCUAGGGUGUCGGAGAGGAGCGCGGAAUCCCUGGUGUAGCGGUGGAAUGCGUAGAGAUCAGGGGGAACACCGAUGGCGAAGGCAGUGCUCUGGCCGAAGACCGACGCUGAGGCGCGAAAGCUGGGGGAGCGAACGGG